GUGCGCCCGCUUCAUGGAGGUCAAGGCCGCCAUGACUGAGCGCCAAUCUAAUCUGGUCGUGCCGCUGGCUCACGAGGCCAACGCCAUGCGCAUCACGGAAACCGACCGCCGGUGUGCGGCGCGGUCCGGCGCAGUUUCCCCGAUGAUCGGCGACAGCCUUCGCCGGGGCGACGUAGAAAGCACGAUGGGUAC
rnacentral:sRNA from 1 species